rnacentral:rRNA from 1 species
CACGUAGUUAGCCGUGGCUUUCUGGUUAGGUACCGUCAAGGUACCAGCAGUUACUCUGGUACUUGUUCUUCCCUAACAACAGAACUUUACGACCCGAAAGCCUUCAUCGUUCACGCGGCGUUGCUCCGUCAGACUUUCGUCCAUUGCGGAAGAUUCCCUACUGCUGCCUCCCGUAGGAGUCUGGGCCGUGUCUCAGUCCCAGUGUGGCCGAUCACCCUCUCAGGUCGGCUACGCAUCGUCGCCUUGGUGGGCCAUUACCCCACCAACUAGCUAAUGCGCCGCGGGCCCAUCUGUAAGUGAUAGCCAAAACCAUCUUUCCAUCUUCUCUCAUGCGAGAGAAGAACGUAUCCGGUAUUAGCUCCGGUUUCCCGAAGUUAUCCCAGUCUUACAGGCAGGUUGCCCACGUGUUACUCACCCGUCCGCCGCUGACUUCAGGGAGCAAGCUCCCAUCCGUCCGCUCGACUUGCAUGUAUUAGGCACGCCGCCAGCGUUCGUCCUGAGCCAGGAUCAAA